rnacentral:lncRNA from 10 species
GUCUCCCGCCCCUCCAGCUCCUGGUCCUGGGGGGUCCUCCAGCCCUGACCCUGGGGGCUGAGCCAGCUCCAACUCCUAGCCUGGCCAGUCAGCAUGUUCACCUCCCCCUCCCAGCCAGCGACUGGUUUGGGGACGAGCACGUGGCGAAUCAGAGGCAGCCCCAGGACUCUUCGUGGAGGACGGACGAGAAGACACCCUUCCUCAACCGGGGCUGCCUGGCAGUCUGGUCACCCUGAGGGACAGCCUGCCUCAGAGGGAAGCUCAGAGCCCCAAGCCCCUCCUUUCCCAUCUGAGGGCUGCUGUGAGGAGCCAAGAGGAGCAAGCUCUUCACGUAGUGCUUGGUACACAGCAGGCGCCCACUAGGUGCUAGAUGGUGUCAUUAUUGUGAAGCUGAGGAGAAGCUGCUUUGUCAGGUGGUGGAGGAAAGGGAGAAAUUUGCAGUUAGCUUGGGAGGCAUCCUGAGCUCAGGCAAGGACCCUACCCGGCAGCUCAGAGCCAACACCUCUCCGUGCUGGAGAAGGGCAGAGUCGAGGCUGCAGGAAAUCAGGAGAGAACUCUGGACACCUCAGCCAAGGAAGGACAAGCCUCCUCCGCCCGGCUGGGGGCUCCCUCGGGCUGGGUCAUCCACGGGGAAGGAAGGAACGGGCUCACCGUCAGACUAGCCACUUUGUCCAGAGGUGGACUAAGCCUCCCUCAUUGGACUGGGCGUUCCUUCAAGCAGGAAGCUGUGCCUCCCCCAUCAGGCCGGGAUUUCCGUAGGAAGAAUCCUCAGACCCCGGAGUCACGUGAAGAGAAAACUCAUCAGACUAGGGAGACCCAGAGUCAGCGUGCAAGACCAGCGGGCCAGGCAGUCGUCCCAGCAGGCCGGGAUUCCCACAGAGAAAAGACGAGGCCUCCCCUCUCAGACUAAGGAGUCCCAUGGGGCGAGGGUCUGGCUUCCCCUGUUGACUGGAGGGCCUCACAGACGGGGCCGCAGCCUCCCACCACACUGACCAUUCUUUCAAGGAAUGACGAACCUCCUCCCUUCAGACCGGGGGUUCCGACAGAGGCAGGUGGGUUACCCCCGAGAGAGUGGAGCUUCUCACAGAGCGGGGGCCAGCG